AGUUGUAUCCUGGCUCAGGAUGAACGCUAGCGGCAGGCUUAACACAUGCAAGUCGAGGGGUAACAGGAGUAGCUUGCUACUUGCUGACGACCGGCGCACGGGUGCGUAACGCGUAUAGAAUCUACCUUGUACUAGGGGAUAGCCUUUGGAAACGAAGAUUAAUACCCUAUAGUAAGUAUUUAUGGCAUCAUUUAUACUUUAAAGGUUACGGUACAAGAUGACUAUGCGUCCUAUUAGUUUGUUGGUGAGGUAACGGCUCACCAAGACUUCGAUAGGUAGGGGCCCUGAGAGGGGGAUCCCCCACACUGGUACUGAGACACGGACCAGACUCCUACGGGAGGCAGCAGUGAGGAAUAUUGGACAAUGGAGGCAACUCUGAUCCAGCCAUGCCGCGUGCAGGAUGACGGCCCUAUGGGUUGUAAACUGCUUUUAUGUAGGAAGAAACACUCUCACGUGUGAGAGCUUGACGGUACUACAAGAAUAAGGACCGGCUAACUCCGUGCCAGCAGCCGCGGUAAUACGGAGGGUCCAAGCGUUAUCCGGAAUCAUUGGGUUUAAAGGGUCCGUAGGCGGGCUAUUAAGUCAGAGGUGAAAGUUUGCAGCUCAACUGUAAAAUUGCCUUUGAAACUGGUAGUCUUGAAUUAUUAUGAAGUGGUUAGAAUAAGUAGUGUAGCGGUGAAAUGCAUAGAUAUUACUUAGAAUACCAAUUGCGAAGGCAGAUCACUAAUAAUAUAUUUGACGCUGAGGGACGAAAGCGUGGGGAGCGAACAGGAUUAGAUACCCUGGGUAGUCCA
rnacentral:rRNA from 1 species